rnacentral:misc_RNA from 1 species
GAUGAAGAACGUAGCGAAAUGCGAUAAGUAAUGUGAAUUGCAGAAUUCAGUGAAUCAUCGAAUCUUUGAACGCACAUUGCGCCCGCCAGUAUUCUGGCGGGCAUGCCUGUUCGAGCGUCAUUUCAACCAUCAAGCCCCCCGGCUUGUGUUGGGGACCUGCGGCUGCCGCAGGCCCUGAAAAGCAGUGGCGGGCUCGCUGUCACACCGAGCGUAGUAGCAUACAUCUCGCUCUGGGCGUGCUGCGGGUUCCGGCCGUUAAACCACCUUCAUAACCCAAGGUUGACCUCGGAUCAGGUAGGAAGACCCGCUGAACUUAAGCAUAUCAAUCAGCGGAGGA